GAACAGAGGCUGCAUCUGGGCAGAAGAGUGUGAUAGAUUUGAACUCCUCAGAGGACGCCCAACCAUUGCCAGAGAAAGAAGGAGGAGGAGGAGGAGGAGAAAGAGGACAUUCCUGAAUGGGGAGAAGAUCACACAUUGAAGAGCAGGAGGAAGAAGAAGAAAAGGAAGGAGGUGAAACAGAGGAAGGGUGGAGGGAGAUACACAAGAAGAAGAACAAGAAGGAAUCAUGUAAGAACAAGAAAAAGACCCAGAAAGAACUACAAGAAGAUGCAGGACAGAAAGAAGAGCCAGAAGUAGAACAAGAACCAGAAUACAAGCACCAAGCAGACAGCUCAUGAUGAGAAACAAGGGGAAGGAGAGCGAACCUAGAAAACUAUAGAGUUCUCCAGGGAUCACCCUGCUGAAGUCCUCCCAUGUCCAUGCCCAACACACCUCUGAUGGAUACCACCUCCCCUCCGCGUGUUCAUCCAUGAGUGGAUUCAUCCAGGGCAAGCGGAUGAAUUGGCCCACCAUCCAACACUUCCCUGAAUACCCAUGUGUGAGCAUGGCUGCCCUGGGGAGAAAGGCUUAAGCACAGGAGCCUUUGGGGGGCCAAUCCUGAUGCAAAGCCUAGCAGUGU
rnacentral:lncRNA from 1 species